AUCCAGUUGACAAGUCCCAAAUAGGACGAAACGCGCAUCCUGGAU
rfam:Schistosoma mansoni strain Puerto Rico chromosome 1, complete genome